rnacentral:rRNA from 1 species
GCUUAAUUUGACUCAACGCGGGAAAUCUUACCGGGUCCGGACACACUGAGGAUUGACAGAUAUAUACCCCGUGAUUUUAUCGCGGGGUUGAAAGAUGCUAGUUCUUUCAUGAUUAUGUGAUAGGUGGUGCAUGGCCGUUCUUAGUUCGUGGAGUGAUCUGUCUGCUUAAUUGCGUAUCAAUAAUAGAGACCUAGUAUACGCGUAGACUCAUGCGGUAGUGACCCCCCUUCACAGGGCGCGUGUCGCACGUAUGUUAUACGCACAGGUCUCCGAUAGCAACGAACGUGACCGUACUCUAUUGUUGCAGCGACAAUACCUUUCAACGGGUAUUACCGCUGCUUAGCAAGAUUCGUCUUGCAUUAAACUAUAGAGACCGCUGUUUCUUCUUUAAACCAGAGGAAGGAUACGGCAAUAACAGGUCUGUGAUGCCCUCA